rnacentral:tRNA from 1 species
AAGGAGUUAGUUAAUUAAUAACAUUGGUAUGUCAAUCCAAAAUAGUUUAUCUUCAAACACACCUUU